rnacentral:rRNA from 1 species
AGCAGCCGCGGUAAUUCCAGCUCCAAUAGCGUAUAUUAAAGUUGUUGCAGUUAAAAGCUCGUAGUUGAAUUUUCGGGGUUCCACCGUUGGUCGGCUAUUGUCUGUACUGGCGUGUGGAAUUUCUACCUUCUGGGGAACUAUCAUGUUAUUAAUUUAGCGUGGUAGGAAACCAGGACCUUUACCUUGAAAAAUUAGAGUGUUCAAAGCAGGCUUAUGUCUGAAUACAUUAGCAUGGAAUAAUAAAAUAGGACGGCGGUCCUGUUUUGUUGGUUUCUGAAUCACCGUAAUGAUUAAUAGGGAUAGUUGGGGGCAUUAGUAUUCAAUUGUCAGAGGUGAAAUUCUUGGAUUUAUUGAAGACUAACUACUGCGAAAGCAUUUGCCAGGAUGUUUUCAUUAAUCAAGAACGAAAGUUAGGGGAUCGAAGACGAUCAGAUACCGUCGUAGUCUUAACCAU